GUCUAGAUAGAAAAUGAUACUUUCCAUUUAAGAAAGGAAAAGGGAAGCAAUCGAUCUUGAAGAUAUUGUAGCCGCAAAAUUGCAAGUGUUAAUGUUCGCGAAGAACAUUGAAAGGCAUUGUAAAAAGUCUUGGAACUAAUGUGGCUGUAAAACGGCUAUAAAAGCACAUGUCAUUUUUACGGAUAGUAGAAAACGAACACGCUGCAAUGUAGAAGUCGGGAACCGUGAAAUCGUUUCUGUCGAAUAUAACGAGGCAAACUUUAUAACCGCACGUUUUACGACGAAACAGAAAGAUUGAUAUUUCAUGAAUGCAACGCGUUGCAUGAAAAAUGGAAAUAUUCAACCGUUUGACUCGGAGAAGAAGAAAAAGGAAAAGAUCGAUACGCUAUGUUCACGGGUCGCGAAAGUAAGCAGAUCGAUAACGGUGCUCGCCAAGGAAGCCAACUAGCUCGCGUACGACCUUUGUCAGGACUGUGAAGCGAGAAUUUCGUCGGCUGCUUCGUGUAUCCGCUUCGCGAUUUCCGGCUUGCAUCUGUAAAGAACAAGGCUGUUCUGUGUACGAGUUGAUUCUAUAAGGACGCCAAAUCGGGAUAGCCUACUAGGCAAGCUUCAUCGUUUCCUUGACAUCCUUAGCCGGUUAAGGAUUCGCUCAGGUGUCCGCCAGAGAGUCCGAGCGAUGUAUGAGUCGACGUUCCUCCGGACUCGUCCUCGCCAAUCGAUAAAACGUUUAACCUAAAUCUAUAUUACGUUUGCCAGCGCAGCCUAACUGAUCCUACCGCAUCUGAUUCCACGAUACCCUAUUUCUAGGCAAUCGAAUUCAAGAGGACACGAGCUUUCGAGUAACCGAAUUUUUCUCCAGGCCAGACUAGUUACCUUAACUUCAUUAAAAAUAUCAAUUGUUAGCCUUCUUUGAUCUAACACGUCCCAAAAGAUCUAUAGACGGUAGGGUAGAUUGUGAUCGAAUGAAAUUGGUAUCGAUAAGAUGACUUUGUGCUCGGCUUUUUAAAUGUUGUGCCGUUCGUGGUGGACGAGUAUCGAAAGAGUAGGGGGUAGAAAUUGGUCGCAUUGUGAACAGUUGGUUGAAUGCUGGCACACGAACCAACGAACCAGGGCAAUUCACUGGCGGAGUCUUUAUUAAGUCAACAACCUGUUCUAGAAAUUCGUUGCAUUUCACGGGACGAAAUUAAAUUUCAGUGAAUAAUAUUCAGCGCGACUAAGAGUGUUUGGGGAACAUUAAUUGGCAUGAUGUUAUUACGCCGGAAGUAUUCGGUAAUUUAAAACCUAAUUGGCUGAGCAGUAAUUGUAUAUGAUGAACACUUACCAUAUAUGUAUGUGCAACAAUCACUCUAUUUUGAUUCCAAAGCCGAGAUGAAAAGAAUCAAUGGAUAAUGAGUUCUCAAAGUUUAAUAAAUAAAAAACUAUAUAUUAAUAUCCUGGGUACCCGUCACAAAUUAAAAGAUCACUGUUAACGAAAUCUUCGAUCGAUGCGUUCACGAGAGGUUCGCGGGUGAAAUUGCUACUAAAGCACGUGAACCUGCGCUGUUUUUGAAGAGAAUGUAACCGGCCGCGUGGUAGAAACACCUGACACAGGAUGGUACAUUCAUCCCCACCAGCUGAACACCCUAAUCCACCCUCGCCACCCUCGCCAGCACCGAAUUACGCCAUUUUAAUUCGUUAAGUUUGCUCGGUACAAUUAAACGGUAUAUUUAUGAAAAAACGGGGCGAAAGUUUAAAGAAGCAAAGCCUACUGUGUAUCGGUAUAAGUAAGAAAAGAACAAAGUUCAUGAAAAGGCAGAAGAAUAAGUAUUAAUCAUCUACUUUGAAAUAUGUUAAAAUUAUGGAAACUUACAAAAAUUGAAAGGUGAUUCUUUUUUCUUAUACUUAAUUAUAUAAGCUUCUACCAUACAUACUUUUAUUCUGGAGCUAAAUCAGGAUAAACGACUAUUCUUUUAUAAUUGAACCAUUAUUUGAUUACACGAUCUUUCUUGCAAUUAUGAUGCUAAUCAAAGUGCUACGGCUACUAUGGUCCGUUCAAGGAAAUGAUUCAGUAAAUGUAAAUUAAAAAAUUCACGUGCUCGACACAAGACCGAAGCACAGUAUAUACAUAGACAUCGUAUGAAGCGUUUGAAGAACUGUAAACUGACUCGUCUCGUUGAAUGAAUUAUGAACUUAUGAAAUAGUACAAGACAAAUUCAUAUCAUUGAAAUGUAAUUGAUUUAAUAUAUUUAAAAUGUUAUGUCA